rnacentral:rRNA from 1 species
GACGAACGCUGGCGGCGUGCUGAACACAUGCAAGUCGAACGGUAAGGCCCUUCGGGGUACACGAGUGGCGAACGGGUGAGUAACACGUGGGUGAUCUGCCCUGCACUUCGGGAUAAGCCUGGGAAACUGGGUCUAAUACCGGAUAGGACUCCGGACUGCAUGGUCUGGGGUGGAAAGCUUUUGCGGUGUGGGAUGGGCCCGCGGCCUAUCAGCUUGUUGGUGGGGUGAUGGCCUACCAAGGCGACGACGGGUAGCCGGCCUGAGAGGGUGACCGGCCACACUGGGACUGAGAUACGGCCCAGACUCCUACGGGAGGCAGCAGUGGGGAAUAUUGCUCAAUGGGCGCAAGCCUGAUGCAGCGACGCCGCGUGAGGGAUGACGGCCUUCGGGUUGUAAACCUCUUUCAGCAUCGACGAAGCGAAAGUGACGGUAGGUGCAGAAGAAGGACCGGCCAACUACGUGCCAGCCGCCGCAGUAA